CCUACGGGAGGCAGCAGUGAGGAAUAUUGGUCAAUGGACGAGAGUCUGAACCAGCGACGCAGCGUGAAGGAUGGCUGCCCUCUGGGUUGUAAUCUUCUUUUAUAUGGGAAUAAAAUGUUCCACGUGUGGGAUUUUGUAUGUACCAUAUGAAUAAAGAUCGGCUAACUCCGUGCCAGCAGCCGCGGUAAUACGGAGGAUCCGAGCGUUAUCCGGAUUGAUUGGGUUGAAAGGGAGCGGAGAUGGGUUGUUAAGUCAGUUGUGAAAGUUUGCGGCUCAACCGUAAAAUUGCAAUUGAUACUGGAAGGUGGGAGUACAGUUGAGGUAGGCGGAAUUCGUGGUGUAGCGGUGAAAUGCUUAGAUAUUACGAAGAACUCCGAUUGCGAAGGCAGCUUACUAAACUGCCACUGACAUUGAUGCUCGAAAGUGUGGGGAGCAAACAGGAUUAGAUACCCCAGUAGUC
rnacentral:rRNA from 1 species